rnacentral:snRNA from 1 species
UGAAAAAUGUUUUAAAGUGCAGAUUUCUGGAAUGAUACAGAGAAGAUUAGCAUGGCCCUUGUGGCAGCUGACACACAAAUUCAUGAAGCCUGCCCUGUUUAA